AUUGAACGCUGGCGGCAUGCCUUACACAUGCAAGUCGAACGGUAACAGGUCUUCGGAUGCUGACGAGUGGCGAACAGGUGAGUAAUACAUCGGAACGUGCCUAGUAGUGGGGGAUAACUACUCGAAAGAGUGGCUAAUACCGCAUGAGAUCUACGGAUGAAAGCAGGGGAUCGCAAGACCUUGUGCUACUAGAGCGGCCGAUGGCAGAGUAGGUAGUUGGUGGGAUAAAAGCUUACCAAGCCGACGAUCUGUAGCUGGUCUGAGAGGACGAUCAGCCACACUGGGACUGAGACACGGCCCAGACUCCUACGGGAGGCAGCAGUGGGGAAUUUUGGACAAUGGGCGCAAGCCUGAUCCAGCAAUGCCGCGUGCAGGAUGAAGGCCUUCGGGGUGUAAACUGCUUUUGUACGGAACGAAAAGCCCUGGGUUAAUACCCUGGGGUCAUGACGGUACCGUAAGAAUAAGCACCGGCUAACUACGUGCCAGCCGCCGCGGUAACAC
rnacentral:rRNA from 1 species